AGCGAACGCUGGCGGCAGGCCUAACACAUGCAAGUCGAACGAACCCUUCGGGGUUAGUGGCGGACGGGUGAGUAACACGUGGGAACGUACCUUUAGGUUCGGAACAACACAGGGAAACUUGUGCUAAUGCCGAAUGUGCCCUUCGGGGAAGGAUUAUCGCCUUAGUAGCGGCCCGCGUCUGAUUAGCUUGUUGGUGAGGUAAAGGCUCACCAAGGCUUCGAUCAGUAGCUGGUCUGAGAGGANGAUCAGCCACACUGGGAC
rnacentral:rRNA from 1 species